rnacentral:rRNA from 1 species
UACGAGGGGGGCGAGCGUUGUUCGGAAUUACUGGGCGUAAAGGGCUCGUAGGUGGCCAACUAAGUCGGACGUGAAAUCCCUCAGCUUAACUGGGGAACUGCGUCCGAUACUGGAUGGCUUGAGUUUGGGAGAGGGAUGCGGAAUUCCAGGUGUAGCGGUGAAAUGCGCAGAUAUCAGGAGGAACACCAGUGGCGAAGGCGGUGCUCUGGGCCGGAACUGACGCUGAGGAGCGAAAGCGUGGGGAGCAAACAGG